rnacentral:rRNA from 1 species
GACGAACGCUGGCGGCGUGCUUAACACAUGCAAGUCGAGCGGUAAGGCCCUUUCGGGGGUACACGAGCGGCGAACGGGUGAGUAACACGUGGGUGACCUGCCCUCAGCUCUGGGAUAAGCCCGGGAAACUGGGUCUAAUACCGGAUACGACCUUCUGUUGCAUGACAGUUGGUGGAAAGUUUUUCGGUCGUGGGGAGUGGGCCCGGCCGGCCGUAUCAGCUUG